rnacentral:lncRNA from 1 species
GCCCCUCCCCGCUCCACCUCAAUUCGCUGCCUCUCCCCGCCCUCUCCGCUCAGCUCCAACCCGGCUGAGGAGCCUGCCGCGCUUCCUUGCCCGCCCCCAGGCGUCGGGGCUCGAUAGCGUCACGGCGCGUCGACGCCUGAUGACGACAGCGUGCGGCGAAGGUAGGGUGCAAAAGGCGGCGGCGUUACGAGGCUCCGUCCCGCGUCCGGGUCCGAUGACGUUACCGCGCGGCGCGGGCGCGAGCGGGCUCUGCGUCGCUCCGAGGCUCCGCCCCCCGUGCGCCCGGGCCGGAUGGCGUCAUCGCGCGGUCGGCGCGCGCGCGCGGAGGCAGUGUGUCUGGGCGACCCCGCCCCCUGGGCGCUAGGCGCUGGGAGCGCGCGCCGCGAGGACGGUCCCGGUCUGCGCUGCAGGGUCACUUCUCAAGAGGAUGUUCACUCUGAAGAGCCCCAGUGCCCCACUUGUUUGAAGGUACAGCCGCCUGCACAACACCUGUCUCUCCUAGCAUCCCACAGUCUGUCCUCUUCGAAGUUCCCUGGACUGCUUCCUGGACCCCUUCAGGCAACCAAGGACAGUCAGAAGUACCUCAGACAAAUUGGAAAGUCCCCUCUACCUACUCUGCAAAUUGGAAAGAUGCUUAUUCUAAAGAGCUCUAGGGGCGCCUGGGUGGCGCAGUCCUUAAGCGUCUGCCUUUGGUUCAGGGCGUGAUCCCAGCGUUCUGGGAUCGAGCCCCACAUCAGGCUCCUCUGCUAGGAGCCUGCUUCUUCCUCUCCCACUCCCCCUGCUCGUGUUCCCUCUCUCGCUGGAUGCCUCUGUCAAAUGAAUGAAUGAAUGAAUGAAUGAAUGAAUGAAUGAAUGAAUGAAUGAAUGAAUAAGUCUUUUAAAAAUAAAAAAAUAAAGAGCUCUAAAUUUCUAAAAAUCCCACCUUAAUAGGAUGCUUCCCAGUCCAAGACUUUCAGUGUUUCCCCUUCGUACCUGAUAAAACUUAAUUUCCUUUCUAAAACCCUUGAACUUCUGGUAAAGUAAAAGUGACAUCAGAAGGGCUCCUUUGCUGCAAGGUAAUGAGUAAACAGCCUUUAUUAAUUUGGAGGUGGUUUUGUUUUUGAUAGUUUGAGGUAUUUAUUUCAAUGACUUUAUUUUUUUAUUUUGAAGAUUCCUCAUCGAUCCUUUUUCACAUCCAUCUAUUCUUAUUUCAUUUCUGUUUUGUUUCUUACUUUCAAUUAUCUAAGGAGAAAAAAACAGUUUGGUUGUUGAUUUGUUCACUUUCUUAGCAUUGGAUUUCUUCAGAUGUCUUGGAAUUCAGGUUUGUAGGCAGUGGGCAAGAGAUACCGGCUCUCCGCCGUCUCCACCCCCUCACUCUUCCCUAGUCAGUAGCGCUGCUGCUGCUUUCACCUUCAGCCCAGAACUGGGUCCCACAGGGCCUGUUAAGGCUUUCAGUAACAGGGAGAGCAUGUCAGAUGCGGGGUCUGCAGGCAGUGGGAUUCAUUUUUGAUCUUCAGUUUGGGUCUAUGUCUUCGUUCCAAGCCCCCACCCUGUUUUGUUUUGUUUUGUUUUAUAAUUUUUAUUUUGUUAUAUUAGUCACCAUACAGUACAUCCCCAGUUUUUGAUGCAAUGUUCCAUGAUUCAUUAUUUGCAUGUAACACCCAAUGCACCAUGCAAUAUGUGCCCUCCUUAAUACCCAUCACCGGCCUAUCCCAAUCCCCCACCCCCCUCCCCUCUGAAGCCCUCAGUUUGUUUCCCAGAGUCCACAGUCUCUCACGGUUCAUUCCCCCUUCUGUUUACCCCCCCUUCAUUCUUCCCCUCCUUCUCCUACCGAUCUUCCUAUUUCUUAUGUUCCAUAAGUGAGUGAAACCAUAUGAUAAUUGUCUUUCUCUCCUUGACUUAUUUCACUUAGCAUUAUCUCCUCCAGUGCCGUCCAUGUUGCUGCAAAUGUUGGGUCAUCGUUCUUUCUGAUGGCUCAGUAAUAGUCCGUUGUAUAUAUGGACCACAUCUUCUUAAUCCAGUGAUCUGUUGAAGGGCAUCUCGGCUCCUUCUACAAUUUAGCUAUUGUGGACAAUGCUGCUAUGAACAUUGGGGUGCAUAUGGCCCUUCUCUUCACUACGUAUCUUUGGGGUAAAUACCCAGUAGUGCAAUUGCUUGACCAUAGGGUAGUUCAAUUUUUAACUUUUUAAGGGACCUCCACACUGUUUUCCAAAGUGGCUGUUCCAACUUGCAUUCCCACCAACAGUGUAAGAGGGAUCCCCGGGGCGCCUGGCUGGCGCAGUUGUUAAGCGUCUGCCUUCCGCUCAGGGCAUGAUCCCGGC